GACGAACGCUGGCGGCGUGCUUGACACAUGCAAGUCGAACGAUGAACCCGGAGCUUGCUCCGGUGGAUUAGUGGCGAACGGGUGAGUAACACGUGAGUAACCUGCCCUUGACUCUGGGAUAACUGCGGGAAACUGUAGCUAAUACCGGAUACGACCCUCGGCGGCAUCGCCAGGGGGUGGGAAGAAUUUCGGUCAAGGAUGGACUCGCGGCCUAUCAGCUAGUUGGUGAGGUAACGGCUCACCAAGGCGACGACGGGUAGCCGGCCUGAGAGGGUGACCGGCCACACUGGGACUGAGACACGGCCCAGACUCCUACGGGAGGCAGCAGUGGGGAAUAUUGCACAAUGGGCGCAAGCCUGAUGCAGCGACGCCGCGUGAGGGAUGACGGCCUUCGGGUUGUAAACCUCUUUUAGUAGGGAAGAAGCGAAAGUGACGGUACCUGCAGAAAAAGCACCGGCUAACUACGUGCCAGCCGCCGCCGUAA
rnacentral:rRNA from 1 species